UGCUUUGACCCAUUUUAACUACGCUGGGAUUAAAAGUUUUGAGACAAAUUGAAUAUCUAUAGACUGGCUCUUGUGUGCAGGUCCAUCUUUGUUCCUCAUUUGAAGCCACACAAAGGUAAAUUGCGUUUUGGUCGCUAUAUGACUCAUGAAUGAGGGUUUCCUCUUGUAGUCCAGUCCUCCCCUCCCUGCAUCUCAGUUCUCUCUGAGGACUUCAGCCCUCCUGACGGAAUAUGUGACAGCAAACUUUUUUCUUUUUUUUUUUUCUCCUCUCUCUUCAUUUGUGUCACCAUGUUGCGGGUCAUUGUCGAGUCUGCGAGUGGGAUUCCUAAAAAGAAAAUUGGAAACCCAGAUCCAAUUACUACUGUUCUCUUCAGAGGUGAAAAGAAGAAAACCAAAGCAAUUAACAAUGAGUUGAAUCCAGUUUGGAAUGAAGUACUUGAGUUUGACCUGAAAGGCUCUCCUCUGGAUGCGU